UCAUAUUACUAGAACACAUUGGUAUUGAAGGAACUAGAUACUGUUCCGAAAUAUCACUUACUCGAACCGUCCUGACCGCGUAGCUCAGUUGGAAGAGCAUUGGGCUAGUAUUCCAAAGGUCGUAGGUUCGAAUCCCACCGUGGCCGGCCAUAUUUUUCAAGCUCGCCCGGUGUGGAUAUGCACUCAGAGUAACAUCGCAAAC
rnacentral:tRNA from 1 species